rnacentral:rRNA from 1 species
AACGAACGCUGGCGGCAUGCCUAACACAUGCAAGUCGAACGAGACCUUCGGGUCUAGUGGCGCACGGGUGCGUAACGCGUGGGAACCUGCCCUUAGGUUCGGAAUAACUCCCCGAAAGGGGUGCUAAUACCGGAUAAUGUCUUCGGACCAAAGAUUUAUCGCCUUUGGAUGGGCCCGCGUUGGAUUAGCUAGUUGGUAGGGUAAAAGCCUACCAAGGCGACGAUCCAUAGCUGGUCUGAGAGGAUGAUCAGCCACACUGGGACUGAGACACGGCCCAGACUCCUACGGGAGGCAGCAGUGGGGAAUAUUGGACAAUGGGCGAAAGCCUGAUCCAGCGGUGCCGCGUGAGUGAUGAAGGCCUUAGGGUUGUAAAGCUCUUUUACCCGGGAUGAUAAUGACAGUACCGGGAGAAUAAGCUCCGGCUAACUCCGUG